rnacentral:rRNA from 1 species
GAUGAACGCUGGCGGCGUGCCUAAUACAUGCAAGUCGAGCGAACAGACGAGGAGCUUGCUCCUCUGACGUUAGCGGCGGACGGGUGAGUAACACGUGGAUAACCUACCUAUAAGACUGGGAUAACUUCGGGAAACCGGAGCUAAUACCGGAUAAUAUAUUGAACCGCAUGGUUCAAUAGUGAAAGACGGUUUUGCUGUCACUUAUAGAUGGAUCCGCGCCGCAUUAGCUAGUUGGUAAGGUAACGGCUUACCAAGGCAACGAUGCGUAGCCGACCUGAGAGGGUGAUCGGCCACACUGGAACUGAGACACGGUCCAGACUCCUACGGGAGGCAGCAGUAGGGAAUCUUCCGCAAUGGGCGAAAGCCUGACGGAGCAACGCCGCGUGAGCGAUGAAGGUCUUCGGAUCGUAAAACUCUGUUAUUAGGGAAGAACAAAUGUGUAAGUAACUAUGCACGCCUUGACGGUACCUAAUCAGAAAGCCACGGCUAACUACGUG